GAUGAACGCUGGCGGCGUGCCUAAUACAUGCAAGUCGAGCGAACAGACGAGGAGCUUGCUCCUCUGACGUUAGCGGUGGACGGGUGAGUAACACGUGGAUAACCUACCUAUAAGACUGGGAUAACUUCGGGAAACCGGAGCUAAUACCGGAUAAUAUAUUGAACCGCAUGGUUCAAUAGUGAAAGACGGUUUUGCUGUCACUUAUAGAUGGAUCCGCGCCGCAUUAGCUAGUUGGUAAGGUAACGGCUUACCAAGGCGACGAUGCGUAGCCGACCUGAGAGGGUGAUCGGCCACACUGGAACUGAGACACGGUCCAGACUCCUACGGGAGGCAGCAGUAGGGAAUCUUCCGCAAUGGGCGAAAGCUUGACGGAGCAACGCCGCGUGAGUGAUGAAGGUCUUCGGAUCGUAAAACUCUGUUAUUAGGGAAGAACAAAUGUGUAAGUAACUAUGCACGUCUUGACGGUACCUAAUCAGAAAGCCACGGCUAACUACGUG
rnacentral:rRNA from 1 species